AUCGAGGAAGCCGGCAGGUCCCAACACCUUAAAAUUAGCUGGGGAUUCCCUACUCCAUUUUGAAAAGUGAGAGUGGGGAAGAUGAGGUUUUCUCCUGCCCUGAAACUCCCUUUAAGACCUACUUAAAGGACGGCUCUUUCCAGAACAAUAUCCCCGGGCUGGUCAAUAACCGAACCCCCCGACCUCCUUUAAAGCCCCAGGAAACGAACCCGCGGCAGCAGGCUAAGCCCGGCAGAGGAGGAGGAGAGGGAUUACCUUGCAAACCAGCUCCUCGCCGCUGUGCAGAUGGACGGCUCGGAAAACGUGGUCUCCCUCGAGAGGCUCCAACAAUAAGUAUUUCCCGAUGCAAGAAACGCAAUGCGACAAGUUCGGGGUCUCCGGCGGGCUCGGCGAGCCUAGAUUCGGGCUAAAACUCUGGCUUGGCUCGAUGGACCGUAUGGACGAGAGCUCCUCAAAAUCCUGGGUUUUAUUCCGCGGUCUCCCAUAUCGUGCUAUCGUGAUAGGGGUUGACCUUUGUAUGUUCAUGAGUAUGGAGAAAACCAGCCGAGACGCUGCACCGGAGCCCUGGCGUGGAGCGCGGUCCCUCGCCCGUCCAGCUGCGGCUGCCUUUGUGUGCCGGGGAGGGGGGCGGGAGCGGCGGCGGGCGCCCAGCCUCAGCGCCGCGUCCUGGGCACAGGGAGAGAGCGCUCAGCCCGCGGCCCUUUGUUCCCCGCCGGCGGCCGGGCGCGGAGCGGUGCGGAGCUGGGCUUGGGGCUGGGGGGCGGCCGCCUUUCGGCCGCCUCUCCCGCUUAGGAGUGGGGAUAAAGGGUUAGGUAAAAGCGCUGCGCGCAAGUGGGGGGGGGGGGGAGGCUUUUUUUUUUUCCCUUCUUUUUUUUUUUUUUUUCUCUCUUUUCUCCUACUGCGAGGCUGAGCAGCGCUGCCGCCGCCGGGCUGUAGAUGGCGUGGGAACGCCGCCGCUGGGAAAAUGCCCCGCGAAAAUAGCGAGGGAGCGAGCGCUGAACUUGGAGCGGGCCGGCCGACAAAAGAGCGCACGGAGCGGAGGGAGGCUCCGCGGGGCCGCCCCCCUGCCGGCCGAGCCGCGCAAGAUGCGCGGGUGCUGCUGCGCGCCCGGCGGCCAAAGGGACCCAGCUGCUGCCGGCGGCGCGGCUGCUCCGGGAAAAGGGGAAAAAGUGCGACCCCGGGAGAGGGGAGGCGAAUCCCAAGCGCACGGAGGGAUUUGGGGCUGGGGGCUGAAUGGAGAACAGAAACAACAAAGAAAAGAAAAAAAAAUAAAUAAAGCAGCGCUGCGAGAACGGGGCCGGCUUCUCACUGCGGGGAACGGAGGUGCACUAAAGGACGCUUAAAAAAAUAAUU